GCCUCGGCCAGCCGGGCCGCGACCUCCGGGUCGGGUCCGGUGGAGGCGAGCGCCAGGUGCCGGGCCCGUUCGAUCGGGUCGGAGGCG
rnacentral:tRNA from 3 species